AGCAACAUCUGUAAGGAUUGAGGACCUAAUAUUUGCUACACCUUAUUUGAGAAAUCAUACUUUUAACAUCUUUUAUAUUGCAAUUUUAUCAACCCGGAGAAGUCUUACUUUUACCAUUUUUAUACUGCAUUUUAUCAACUGUUUAUGAUUUGACACCUUGGCUCUUUUAUAGACGAAAACUUAAUUUCGGAUAUUAUUAAUUUUGGAUUUAACAUAACUAUUGGAAAGGACCUGUAAUCUUACCAGCAAUUGGAAGUGUGGAACUCUUUUCGUACAUUGAACUUCUUUUUAAAACUCUUUUGGAAACACUUGGACAAGAAAGAACAAUUUCGCGAUCAAGAAUUUGCGCAACCUAGAUUCUAUUCAUAUUGUGAAAUCAAAUCUCACCAAUUCAUUUUUUAUUUUCGAAUAAAUACUUAAUAUAUAUAUUUUAA